GAUGAACGCUGGCGGCGUGCCUAAUACAUGCAAGUCGAGCGAACAGACGAGGAGCUUGCUCCUCUGACGAUAGCGGCGGACGGGUGAGUAACACGUGGAUAACCUACCUAUAAGACUGGGAUAACUUCGGGAAACCGGAGCUAAUACCGGAUAAUAUAUUGAACCGCAUGGUUCAAUAGUGAAAGACGGUUUUGCUGUCACUUAUAGAUGGAUCCGCGCCGCAUUAGCUAGUUGGUAAGGUAACGGCUUACCAAGGCAACGAUGCGUAGCCGACCUGAGAGGGUGAUCGGCCACACUGGAACUGAGACACGGUCCAGACUCCUACGGGAGGCAGCAGUAGGGAAUCUUCCGCAAUGGGCGAAAGCUUGACGGAGCAACGCCGCGUGAGUGAUGAAGGUCUUCGGGUCGUAAAACUCUGUUAUUAGGGAAGAACAAAUGUGUAAGUAACUAUGCACGUCUUGACGGUACCUAAUCAGAAAGCCACGGCUAACUACGUG
rnacentral:rRNA from 1 species